rnacentral:misc_RNA from 1 species
CCAAAAACAAGCUCAGGUCUGGGAAACCAGCCGGAGUGCAAACCCUCUGUGAAUCAGAAAACACAUUUUCGCUUCCGUGGUUGGGCAAGCUUCCUUGACCGGAUUGCCUGACUGUAAUCCCACGGGCAGCAAAACAAGUUUAACUUUUAAAUCUGGUCUGAACAAUCGUUAAAAACGAAUGAAAUUA